CCUAAAGGUGAGCCCACUGAGGGAAAGCAAUGGAUAGCGCUUUGGACUUCUAAUCCAAAUGUCGUGGGUUCGAAUCCCACCUGGGA